GGGCCCAUAGCUCAGUUGGUUAGAGCAGAGGACUCAUAAUCCUUUGGUCCUAGGUUCGAGUCCUAGUGGGCCCACCA
rnacentral:tRNA from 3 species